ACAAAAUGGCUGCCAGUUACAGCAAGCAAUACCCAAAACGUAAUACGUCUGGCGCGAUUUCGUGACAGAGAAGUAUGGUAAAAUGACACGACAUAUCAAUCUGAAGUUCGAGGAAAAUUACUUACGGGUCAUUAACACGCUUCACAUAAAAUGGUUCGCUUCAACAAGCAACCAGUUACUAUAAUAUUCGAAUUCCAUAACACAAAAAAUGACUCAGCUUCGUGUGUACAUAUUGAACUUUCCAUCUCUAUUCUUCGGCAUGAAAAUACCGAUAAACUGUAAGUGUAAAUCUAUUUACCAGAAACCACAGACCGCAACUAUUACAACAAACUGAAUCAUCAAACCCUCGAAAUUCUAUGACAAUAAUCAGCGUUUACCAGUUUCCUUAUCGAAUACUAUUUUUAAAUCGACUGUACGGCAAACAACCGAUCCGAUUCACACGGAUAUGCAAACUGCUCGAAGCAGAAGGUAGAACGAGUCUAUGGUUGUUCAAAUAAAGGCGCGUGCUGGCUGACACGAUUGUUGGAAGCGUAGGGCAGGUCUUCAACUACGGGAGUUCAAUAUUUAUUGCGAUGUCACCAGAGGUCGUGGACGGUUAAACUACAAAAGGCAACAGGGUCAGGCAGCAGCCGAAGGAAACGGCGGGUCGUGAUAAAAAGAAUGUGACAUAAGUUGGGGGGUUGGCUUAUCGAUAUUGCUUGGAAAUAUGCAACGACGCUGCUGCGCGAGAAGAAAAGUCAUUAACACGAGUCUCUGGCAAGAAACGCAACGAUAACGUAUCGCGCGGUUUCAUCGACGGCCAACUCGGCUAAGAAAUCCUGCAUCGAAUUAACUAACGUUGAAUACAAAGAAAUGGCGCGCAUACGAGGCACAAAAGUAUCUAUCAGCAAAAGUAAUGAAACAGAAUGGGCUUCAAGGCGUAAAAACUCCGACACGAUUUCGUGACAUAAAAGUAUCGGGAAGUGAUACUUGUGACACAUCAAAUUCAAGCUUACGGUACGGAAAAUGACUGUCAAGAUUUUAUUACCGUUUUUACGGGGAAACUGAGAAGGAAGGUCUUUACUUGUUGCGUAUCAAUCAUUUAGUGUGAAGUCUGGUUCUUGACAGAAAAUCGCAUAAUGGCACUUGUGGUGCGUGUAAUUAAAGAGUGAUGGAGAUGAAUGUAAAAACUCAAAAAAUUCCACGAUGAAUGAAACGAGGAAUAAAUUCCAGCUCACAUGAACGCAUUUUAAACGCAAAUAGGCAAAACGCAAGUUUAUAACGAUCUUUGAUCUUAUUAAUUACUAAUCUAGCUCGUUACGUAAGCAGCGAGAUAAUUAUUCCGACUAAUUGAAUAAUUGAUUACAGAUACUUAGGAUUCACAGUCCGGAAGGAAUAACAUCUAUUUCGUGUGUUUAUCUGUGCACUGAUAACGUAGAACCGAUUAGAAUUCUCCUCGUUUAUACACCGUGAACCUUCGUGAACUGUGAUAUCCUUUUUCUCUUUCUCUCUUUUUAAUCGAUACAUUUAUUUGCAACAGAAGAGAAAAGGAAAAUCGAUACAACUUACGUUCCAGCUGCAACUCGAACGUACAUCAAGUUAUAUUAUAAAUAAAUAUAUUACGAACAGAUGUUCCAGAUGAUGUCGGUUCAAAAGACGAAGAUAACAUAAUAAAUAUAUAUAUGUAUCACGGACGGCUUCAAAAAUCAUUAAAACAGCGAGGUCUUAUCGUGACCCACGCAAUGAUGAUACCGAUUUCUUCUCCCCCUUAUCAACCUACAUCGAGACACCGCUUUUCUUUUGCAUAGACGAUUCUGGUGCUUAUUUUACCCGUGUUUGUGAUAAGCCAUUCUUGGAAAAAGUAUUUUAAGGAAUAUAGUUGAAGAUGUAAUACGAAUCGCUGUGUUUCAUUUAUUAAAUUUUUGGGAAUUAAUCUUUCAAUGGAAAAGCAACUCGGUAAUAUACCAGACUAGUUAUAUUGCUAACUUUGCACGUAUGAUAUGUAUACUAAUGACGUUUUACAUUAUUGUUGCAUACCGAGAUGUCUGAUUUGAAGAGUUGGAGAUAUGGAAACUGAGAAUAUUACCAAGAGUUAGAUUACUACUUGUUAUAUUACCACGUGUUAUAUUGCCACGCGCUAUAAUGUUAAUCAUUGUACCGCCUCGAAUUAUAUCGCCAUUUGUUGCGUCACUAUUUGUUAUAUUGCGGUGGAAUAUAUUACCACGUGUUAUAUUGCCGCGUAUUAUAUCACCACGUGUUAUAUCACCGGUUAUAUUGCCACGCAUUACAUUAACAUGCGCUGUAAUGUCAACCAUUGUAUCGCCACGUGUUGCAUUACUAUGCGUUAUAUUGCCGCGCGUUAUAUUACCACGUGUUAUAUUGCCGCGUAUUAUAUCACCGGUUAUAUUGCCACGCAUUACAUUAACAUGCGCUGUAAUGUCAACCAUUGUAUCGCCACGUGUUGCAUUACUAUGCGUUAUAUUGCCGCGCGUUAUAUUACCACGUGUUAUAUUGCCGCGUAUUAUAUCACCGGUUAUAUUGCCACGCAUUACAUUAACAUGCGCUGUAAUGUCAACCAUUGUAUCGCCACGUGUUGCAUUACUAUGCGUUAUAUUGCCGCGCGUUAUAUUACCACGUGUUAUAUUGCCGCGUAUUAUAUCACCGGUUAUAUUGCCACGCAUUACAUUAACAUGCGCUGUAAUGUCAACCAUUGUAUCGCCACGUGUUGCAUUACUAUGCGUUAUAUUGCCGCGCGUUAUAUUACCACGUGUUAUAUUGCCGCGUAUUAUAUCACCGGUUAUAUUGCCACGCAUUACAUUAACAUGCGCUGUAAUGUCAACCAUUGUAUCGCCACGUGUUGCAUUACUAUGCGUUAUAUUGCCGCGCGUUAUAUUACCACGUGUUAUAUUGCCGCGUAUUAUAUCACCGGUUAUAUUGCCACGCAUUACAUUAACAUGCGCUGUAAUGUCAACCAUUGUAUCGCCACGUGUU